GGCCCCAGUGAGGAAGCUGGCUCACAAUGUGAUUGGAGUCUUCCCAGAUCCGUAGUGCAGACACAGAACGUCCCUCACACCUCUCAGCCAGGACAAGAAGCCUCCAUCUUCCAUCGGGGACACGGAGGAGAACUUUCCCCUGAUUGUGGACACUUGUGAGCCAGAGGAAGGGAAGCCGAGAGUUGGGAGAGAUUUCCCCCUUCAUGUCCAGUCACCGUGCUGGGAAGAGUCAGAAAUCACCCGACCAUAGAAGAGGAGCCAAGAGGGACCAUCCGAGAGGACCCCAACCAUAGAAGACUCAUCAGAGGAGCCAAGAGGGACCAUCCGAGAGGACCCCAACCAUAGAAGACUCAUCAGAGGAGAUCCACAUCACCCUCCAGACCAGGACAACAUCAUCCAGGUGGAUUGAUGAACCAAGUUUUGGAGACAAAACGUAUCACACACCAGAAGGUUCACACUGGAGAGAAGCCAUAUCAAUGUUCAGAAUCUGACAAAGCUGUUAAAACAAAGUCACACCUUAUCAGUCACCAGAUGAUUCACACGGGAAAGAAGCGGUAUGAGUGUUCUGAAUGU